UAGGAUUUUACCCAUUUCUGCUGGUGAGUAUUUUUCUUGUCUUUUUCCAUUCAUAGGUUAAGAGUGUUUACUGAUAGCAUAUGUUUUGCCAUUGUGUUGGCAAUUUUGGGCCUAUGAGAGGCUCCCAUGUUUGCGUCCUGUGAGUGUGUUAGGUUUAGAUACCUAUCCACGAGGAUGACGAUGGCACCAUUCUAUUUUGCCGGAGGUCCCUGUAUUUGAGGGAUUCACUCACUGCCAUAUGCAACUGGAGUUGCUGACGGCGGGUACCAUUACAUGGAUUCCCUAUUCAGGGGAGCAUUUGACCAUCAGAUUUGAG
rnacentral:lncRNA from 1 species